GAUGAACGCUGGCGGCGCGCUUAACACAUGCAAGUCGUGCGGUACCGAUGGCAAGUCUUCAUGACGAGCCUUCGGUAUAGCGGCGGACGGGUGAGUAACACGUGAGUAGCUGUCCUAGGGAGGGGGAUAACGCCUGGAAACGGGUGCUAAAACCCCAUAAGCCUCGCAAGAGGUGAAAGUGUACUUGUUACAGCCUUAGGGUGUGCUCGCGGCCUAUCAGCUAGUUGGUGAGGUAACGGCCUACCAAGGCGACGAUCAGUAGCCGACCUGAGAGGGUGAUCGGCCACAUUGGAACUGAGAUACGGGUCCCACUCCUACGGGAGGCAGCAGGCUAGAAAUUUGGGCAAUGGGGGAAACCCUGACCCAGUGACGCCGCGUGCAGGAAGGAGCCCUUCGGGGUGUAAACUGCUGUCGUGUAGGGAGAAGGGUACUAAGGUGAACAAGUCUUAGUACUUGACGGUACUACAGGAGGAAGCCAGGCUAACCUCGUGCCAGCAGCCGCGGUAAUAU
rnacentral:rRNA from 1 species